CCUACGGGAGGCAGCAGUGGGGAAUAUUGCACAAUGGGGGAAACCCUGAUGCAGCGACGCCGCGUGAGUGAAGAAGUAUUUCGGUAUGUAAAGCUCUAUCAGCAGGGAAGAAAAUGACGGUACCUGAUUAAGAAGCCCCGGCGAACUACGUGCCAGCAGCCGCGGUAAUACGUAGGGGGCAAGCGUUAUCCGGAUUUACCGGGUGUAAAGGGAGCGUAGACGGCAGCACAAGCCUGGGGUGAAAUGCCGGGGCUUAACCCCGGAACUGCUUUUGAAACUGUGAAGCUGGAGUGCAGGAGAGGGAAGUGGAAUUCCUAGUGUAGCGGUGAAAUGCGUAGAUAUUAGGAGGAACACCAGUGGCGAAGGCGGCUUACUGGACUGUAACUGACGUUGAGGCUCGAAAGCGUGGGGAGCAAACAGGAUUAGAUACCCUUGUAGUC
rnacentral:rRNA from 1 species